rnacentral:lncRNA from 1 species
CUCCCCGCCGCCCCCUCACUGCGCGCCUGUCACUCACGCCCUCGGGGCGGGGCCUCCGCGGCCGGCGCUCGGGAGCCGGGGGGCGCGCGGCAGGGCCCCGGGGGGAGGAGGCCGCCCGCCAGCGCACACCGCAGCUUUGCUUUUCUCAUUGGGGCGCGCGUGGUGAUGGAAGGCCGGCGAAGAAGAGGAGAAACGUGGGCCCCGAGACGUUUUCUGUUUCUCUUCAACACAGACUCAGGGGCCGCUCAGCACAGAUAAUUCAGGCUUUUGUACCAGGCGAAGGGACGCGGCUGAGGAGAAGGGACCGGGGGUCAAACCCCACCCUCUGUGUUCUCGUGCGGGGCCUUGCCUCAGGAUGUGUCCAGUCUUUUUCCUUUAUCACCUUAAAAUAUUUCCCGCCUGAGAUUUCCCGCCAGUUUCAAGAUCCACAUUCUCCUCAGGCCAUCUUCCUAAACUCAAAAAUCCAAGUAUUAUUUAUAAGGCACCAUGAGAAAUCUUUUUUUAUUCCUGAGAGGCACUGAAAGAGAGGCAGAGCCGCGGGCAGAGGGAGAAGCAGGCUUCGGGACUCGAUCCCAGGACCCUGGAUCAUGACCUGACCCAAAGGCAGACGCCCGACGACUGAACCACCCAGGUGCCCCAGGAACUCUGUCUUUGAAGAAGGAAGCGUGAAAGGAGUUGAAAGCAGACCCCCUCGGCCUGCCACACACAGCAGAGACGGGCCCAGCCCUGCGCAGCCCCGCCAGCCUGCCCCAAAGGAAAGUGGGUGAGGAGACCUCCAGGGAGUGGAGCAUAGUUGGUACCCAGGGGCUUGACCCAUGUCCAGGGUGGGUGCGCAUCUGCCCCAAAGCUGGAGGCCACGCCGGCCGUCACUGAGCUGGGAGGCGGAUGCUCGCCCCUCGUGGGACCUCACCUUCCAUGAGGAUGUGGACCGCUUCUUCCUGGGGCCUGCCUGGUGCUCAAGGGGAGCGCCGGUCCCUUGUGAGGCCCAGGUGCCUUGGCAGGUAGCAGGAGCCCCCGGGGAGGUGGGGGUGCUGUGCACCCAGCCUCGUGGGGGCAGUGCCCUGGUGGGGUCCGGGGCAGGGCCCUCACUCCCUCCGCCCGGAUGCUGGCUUUGCUGGGUGUGCCCAAGCAAAAAUCCUGCUCUCCUGAGGCACCAAAUGCUACAUUCGAAAAAGUCCCUGAAGCUAGAAGUUUUGCAUCUGGCUGUGAACCUGUGGCAUCAUGAUCUCUGGAACUAG